UACGGGGGGGGCAAGCGUUGUUCGGAAUUACUGGGCGUAAAGGGCGCGUAGGCGGCCUGUUAAGUCGAACGUGAAAUCCCCGGGCUCAACCCGGGAACUGCGUCCGAUACUGGCAGGCUUGAAUCCGGGAGAGGGAUGCGGAAUUCCAGGUGUAGCGGUGAAAUGCGUAGAUAUCUGGAGGAACACCGGUGGCGAAGGCGGCGUUCUGGACUGCAACUGACACUGUAAAACGAAAGCCAGGGGAGCAAACGGG
rnacentral:rRNA from 1 species